rnacentral:rRNA from 1 species
CCUACGGGGGGGCAGCAGUGAGGAAUAUUGGUCAAUGGACGAGAGUCUGAACCAGCCAAGUAGCGUGAAGGAUGACUGCCCUAUGGGUUGUAAACUUCUUUUAUAAAGGAAUAAAACGAGGCACGUGUGCCUUUUUGCAUGUACUUUAUGAAUAAGGAUCGGCUAACUCCGUGCCAGCAGCCGCGGUAAUACGGAGGAUCCGAGCGUUAUCCGGAUUUAUUGGGUUUAAAGGGAGCGUAGAUGGGUUGUUAAGUCAGUGGUGAAAGUUUGCGGCUCAACCGUAAAAUUGCAAUUGAUACUGGCAGUCUUGAGUACAGUUGAGGUAGGCGGAAUUCGUGGUGUAGCGGUGAAAUGCUUAGAUAUCACGAAGAACCCCGAUUGCGAAGGCAGCUUACUAAACUGUGACUGACAUUGAUGCUCGAAAGUGUGGGUAUCAAACAGGAUUAGAUACCCCAGUAGU